GCUGCACACUAUUAAAGCUCAAGGUGGAGGCCAGCCUUGGCCGAUGAACUUCUGAGUGUCGGAAGUGUGCUAGAUAAAUUGCAGGAUUUUCGCUAACACCAGUAGAGCCUGCCUCUGUGACUGGAGAUUGAUAGUACUCGCUGCCACAUUC
ensembl:snoRNA SNORA62 Small nucleolar RNA SNORA62/SNORA6 family